rnacentral:snoRNA from 1 species
GGCCUGCAUUGGCGACGCCAUGCCCCAACACCAUGGCAUGGAACGUCAUGCAUUUGCGGGCCACAUCAGGCUUCACGCCGCGUCCGGAGCUAGAGCUGCAGCCGCCCUGACUCGUGGGCCCUGCGGUGUAGAACUCGGGACACACUU